GUCAAAGACCUGAAUUUAAAACCUAAAACUAUUAAGUUCUUAGAAGGAAAUGUGAAAAACGUCAUGAACUUAGAUUAAGAAAGAUUUUUUUAUAGCUAU